rnacentral:misc_RNA from 1 species
GCAUUAUGUUUACCAGUGGUCCGAGAAAGGUGUGAGAGGAAACACAAGAUGAUUUUGUAGUUUAUUCUUUCUCUCCCUUUGUGUACAUAUCUCUCUUCUGUGGAUAUGGUGAGGGACGGAUGAUGGUGCUAGCUGGUGAGGAGUACAACGUCGUUACCUGCCAUCUUCACACGCUGGUGCAUGAGUGAUUUAGAGGAUGGGCCAGAAUAUGUGUUGCCCCAAGAAGGGGCCGCCACCCCCAAAUCACCCUGGGCCGUUUGACCACAUAGAUCCAGGCGAAAGAAUUGAGGUGACGCAAUUUUCACCUGCCAAUGGCAUUUCACGGGAAAAUGCCUAUUCCAGAACCCAGGUUGCCGUUACAACAAGCCAUAUUGAUGAAGGUAAAGCGGAUGGCAACGCCUCCAUGACACCACCACACGGUGGUGGAGGAAACCCUCGCUAUUAUCCAGACCCGUCCAGAGGCGGCAGACCUGCUUAUAACUCUCAACAACAUGGAGUCGAUGUUAUCCGGUCAAAUUCAGGACAAGGAUUGCCAGCCCAUGGUUGGGUUCAGCAGCACCAUGCAAGCCACAUGCGGAUGCGAAAGGAGUCGGUUAGGUGUUCGCAACGAUGGACACCCAGAUCCAACACUCCAGAACCAGUCACACCAUCAACACCAUCGCGAGGCCGGGUCGUGGUGGCCAUGUACUCAUUCCAGGGUCGCAGCAAUGGCGAACUCACCUUUGAGAAGGGAGACAGGAUGGAGAUUCUCAAUGAUGCUGAUGCUGACUGGUGGUUAGCACGACAUAUGACACAUGGCAUUGACGGCUAUAUUCCAAAGAACUAUGUUGCAUCCACAUCUUCGCUUGAGUGCCAAGACUGGUACUUUGGCAAAAUAGCCAGGAAAGAAGCAGAAAAAUUACUAAUGACACGGGGGAACUUAAGAGGCACUUUUCUCAUCCGUAUGUCGGAACAAUCUAGUCAUGGAUAUUCCCUAAGUAUAAGGGAUUGGGACCAACAAAAGGGAGAACAUGUAAAGCACUACAGAAUCAAGGUCACUGACAAUGGAGGCUUCUUCAUCACCUCAUCACAGGCUUUCCGGACACUCAAUGACCUGGUGGAUGCUUACAAAAGAAACAACUAUGGGCUAGCAUGUCUCUUGCAAUACCCAUGUCCACGUCCACAACCCCAGAAAUGGGAUCUGUCACGAGAGACCAAAGAUCAGUGGGAGAUUGACCGUAAUACUCUUUCCAUGAACAAGAAGUUAGGACAAGGUUCCUUUGGUGAAGUGUGGUAUGGUAUGUGGAACAACUCUACAGAAGUUGCCAUCAAGACCCUAAAACAAGGAGCAAUGAGUCCUUCUGCCUUCUUAGAAGAAGCCAGAAUCAUGAAAAAAUUACGGCAUCGUAAUAUUCUUGUACUUUAUGCUGUUUGUACGAAAGAAGAACCUAUACUAAUAGUCACUGAGUAUAUGUGUAAUGGUGCACUGCUAGAUUUGCUCAGGAAUGAGGGAGAGCGCACCCUCAAACUCAAUGACUUAAUAUAUGUGGCAACACAGGUUGCUGCAGGUAUGGCUUACCUAGAGAGCAAACAGUUGUUACAUCGAGACCUUGCUGCCCGUAAUGUAUUAGUAGGUGAAUCUUUGACAUGUAAAGUGGCAGAUUUUGGCUUAGCACGAAUUGUGGAAGGUGAAGACUACUGCCCAAGCACAUGUAAUAAAUUCCCUGUCAAAUGGACAGCACCUGAAGCCAUGCUGUACAACCGCUUUACUAUCAAGUCUGAUGUCUGGUCAUUUGGUAUUCUACUAAUGGAAGUGAUUACCUAUGGUGCUAACCCAUACCCAGGAAUGAAUAACCGAGAGGUCAUAGAGAAAGUCCAGAUGGGCUACCGAAUGGCCAAGCCUCCACGAGCUCCCGAUGAGUUAUACGAAGUGAUGCUCCAUUGCUGGGAUAAGUAUCCUGAUCAACGACCUACCUUUGACUACUUGCAUCAUUUCUUCGAUGACUACCAGGUCUCCUCCGAAAUACCCUAUCGCGACAUCCACGACUAAUAACAACAUGACCCUGCCUGACCUCCACCCUCUAAUUCAGACCCUCCCAGGCCAGGACAACCUGGGUAAAAAACAGUCAGGAUGAGCAAUCGAGAGGUAACUGAAGUAGUCCCGAGCGGGUAUCGCAUGAGUAAGCCAGUCUCCAAGUACUGCCCUGACCAGCUCUAUGAGCUCAUGUGCCAGUGCUGGAAACUGGACCCCAUAGAAAGACCAAC